GCCAGGCAUGGUGGUGCACACCUGUAGUCCCAGCUACUCGGGAGGCUGAGGUGGGAGGAUCGCUUUAGUCCACGAGUUCUGGGCUGCAGUGUGCUAUGCGCAUCGGGUGUCCACACUAAGUUCGGCAUCAACAUGGUGACCUCCCAGGAGCGGGGGAUCACCAGGUCGCCUAAGGAGAGGGGAACAGGCCCAGGUUGGAAACGGAGCAGGUCAAAGCUCCCGUGCUGAUCAGUAGUGGGAUCAUGCCUGUGAAUAGCCACUGUACUCCAGCCUGAGACCCCUUCUCA
rnacentral:SRP_RNA from 1 species